rnacentral:rRNA from 1 species
AGUGAACGCUGGCGGUAGGCCUAACACAUGCAAGUCGAACGGCAGCACAGUAAGAGCUUGCUCUUACGGGUGGCGAGUGGCGGACGGGUGAGGAAUACAUCGGAAUCUACUUUUUCGUGGGGGAUAACGUAGGGAAACUUACGCUAAUACCGCAUACGACCUACGGGUGAAAGCAGGGGAUCUUCGGACCUUGCGCGAUUGAAUGAGCCGAUGUCGGAUUAGCUAGUUGGCGGGGUAAAGGCCCACCAAGGCGACGAUCCGUAGCUGGUCUGAGAGGAUGAUCAGCCACACUGGAACUGAGACACGGUCCAGACUCCUGCGGGAGGCAGCAGUGGGGAAUAUUGGACAAUGGGCGCAAGCCUGAUCCAGCCAUACCGCGUGGGUGAAGAAGGCCUUCGGGUUGUAAAGCCCUUUUGUUGGGAAAGAAAAGCAGCAGGUUAAUACCCCACUGUUCUGACGGUACCCAAAGAAUAAGCACCGGCUAACUUCGUG